rnacentral:misc_RNA from 1 species
CCAAUAGCGUAUAUUAAAGUUGUUGCAGUUAAAAAGCUCGUAGUUGAAUUUCGGGGUUCAUACGUUGGUCGGGCUUUUUGGUCUGUACUAGCGUAAUGGAUUCCUACCUUCUGAAUAACCGGCAUGCCAUUAAUUUGGUGCGCCGGGGAAGCAGGACUGUUACCUUGAAAAAAUUAGAGUGCUUAAAGCAGGCUAUCGCCUGAAUACAUUAGCAUGGAAUAAUGAAAUAGGACGGCAUGGUUCUAUUUUGUUGGUUUCUAGGAUCACCGUAAUGAUUAAUAGGGAUAGUUGGGGGCAUUAGUAUUCAAUUGGCAGAGGUGAAAUUCUUGGAUUUAUUGAAGACUAACUUCUGCGAAAGCAUUUGCCAAGGAUGUUUUCAUUAAUCAAGAACGAAAGUUAGGGGAUCGAAGACGAUCAGAUACCGUCGUAGUCUUAACCAUAAACUAUGCCGACUAGGGAUCGGACGAUGUUAAUUUUUUAAUGACUCGUUCGGCGCCUUACG